UGGUGUGAGCAUAACAACACUAACGCACCGAAUCCCAUCAGAUUUGUGUGUUUGGGAGAGAGUAGUACUAGGAUGGGUGACCUCUUGGGAAGUCCUCGUGUUGCACCUA
rnacentral:rRNA from 2 species